CUAGAGAUGUUGAGUGCAUUGCUUAUUUAACAGAAGCUUCCAAGAUAGCUCCCAAUUAUAUCUCGCGAUUCCAUGGUGACAUGCUCCUCCCAAACUUUGAGACUUCUAACCAGCAAAAUAAUUCCUGGUUAUCUUGGGUGCGCUACUUCUUCAGGGAUUACCGACCCGGACAUGGAAAUAGUUCUGACUAUAACAAGUCUGUCCUCACUUUCUAUGAAGAGCUUUGCCCUUUUCCCUUAGCUGCUUAUUUGGCUAUGUGGUUAUCUCGCUUCAUUUUUCCCGG
rnacentral:lncRNA from 1 species